rnacentral:lncRNA from 1 species
CAAAGAAUCGGAUCGGGUCGGGUCAUCGAGUUCCAAACGACGUCAUUUUUAAACCAUUGGAAUUGGUUUAUACGGUGUCGUUUUUGCUUCCUUAUAAAGGCCAAACAAUGCCUUUAUUCAACUAGCCUCCCCAUUUUAAUCCUUUCAACCGAAACCUAACAUUCCUCUAAGAGCCGAUCUGCCACCAUGAACGACGACCAGCCCGUCCGAGCCUCAAAGUUAUUUUCAGCCUUAAGACCCCUUCUAUACUUCGAUUUCAAUGAAGAAGAAGAAGUUUCAUGGCGUACUUUCAAGGUUAAGUCUUAUUUCCUUCUUCCUUUUGGUUUUUUAAAUGCUAAACGAAUGACCAACAAAGAAAUAAUCGGCAGAAAAGAAACUUGAGUAAAGAAUCACCUUUAAGGAUUUUAAUAACUUUCUUUGUAUUCUAUGUGCGUGCGUAUGCGUAAGUCCUUUACAAAAAUGAAAUCGGCUCUUUUUAUAGCCGAAUAUAGGUAAAAAUAAUAAAAAGAAAAAUCUGAUUUUCCUUACUAUUUUCUGUUUUAUUUGCUGUGGCUAUUGUUAUUUGCUUCUUCUCGCAGGUUCCAUUGUACGAGGAGUGCGUACGGAGAAGAAGGCUAUUGACGCGACAAGGUCGUACGUGAGAAACCAUUUGUAAAAGCCAAGGCUGAUUGCAGCAUUGGUGUACUCUAGAAACUUCUAGGGUUUCUAGUGCUUUCACAGUGUUGGGCUUAUUUGGGCCAUUUACGAAUUGGGUUAGAUUAAAAGGUUUAGGUGUAAUGGGAUUUUGGGUUAGGGUCUUGGUGUAGGUUUAUUAAAUUUAAUAUUUGGGCCCUUAUUUUUGGAUUAAAUAAGUUGUAAAUGGACUUUUUUUAUCAGUGGACUUUUACUGUUUUUGGUUUUUUUACUUUUAUUUUGGUUUUGGUUUUUUUUAUGAGACUGGGCAAAUUGGGCAAAUUACAGCUGCCCCGCUUUGCUCAUUGUCGUGUAACAAGAAUAGAGCAAAUACUUCAAAUAAGGCCAAUUUUGCCUGUUUUUGCUAUAUUUUGUGCCCCUUGACCCUCUUCUUCUUCAAGUAAUCUCGAUCAGCCUCACCGUCUUCAGGGAUAUACUCCACUAAAAAUCGUCAACUUUGAUCUGUCUUUUUCAAUCUGCUCCAUUACUGCUUAGGGAGAUGAAAUCUUUAAUUUUCAGUUUGCUUCCUUGCUUCCUCAGGAAGAUAAUUCUUCAUCCUGCUCUCUUGCUACCUCAGAGAGAUAAGGCUGGUGGCUUAAAUCUGUUCCAUUGCCGAUACAUGGUGAUAAGAUUCGCCAUCUUUGAUCCGCUGCGCUACAACUUCAGGGAAAUAAGAUCUUCAGUCUGCUUCCUUUCUACCUCAGGAAGAUAAGACUCAUCUUCAACUUUCUACCUCAGAGAGAUAAGGCUGGUGGCUAAAAUCUGCUCUAUUGCCGAUAUAUGAAGAUAAGAUUCGCCAUCUUUGGUCUGUUCCACUACUGCUUAGGGGAAUAAGACCUUCAAACUUCAGUCUGCUUCCUUACUACCUCAAGAAGAUAAGACUCAUUAUUUAACCUACUCUCUUGCUACCUCAGAGAGAUAAGGCUAGUGGCUUAAAUCUGCUCCAUUACCGAUACAUGGAGAUAAGAUUCUCCAUCUUCGAUCUGCUCCGGUGCAACUUCAGGGAGAUAAGAUCUUCAAUCUUCAGUCUGCUUCCUUGCUACCUCAGGAAGAUAAGACUCAUUCUUCAACCUACUCUCUUGCUACCUCGGAGAGAUAAGGCUGGUAGUAAAAUCUGUUCCAUUGCCGAUACAUGGAGAUAAGAUUCACCAUCUUCGAUCUGCUCCACUACAACUUUAGGGAGAUAAAAUUUGACUUUACCAAUGUCACUACACUGUGUCCUAAGGGAACGUGUAUUGUAGACUCUCAUUUUAUAUGCGCAUGUUUAUGCCAAGUAAUUAGGAUGCUAUGAUUGAAAUGAAUCCAAUACUCCUAACUAAAUGUGUUAUGAAUGAUAUUUUAAAAUUUUAAGGUAUCAUCACUCGUUGUUCAUUAAUAUGCUGUCACUGACGUAUUUGCUCAACCAUUAUCUCUAUAGAGUAUCCAAAGAAACAAUCAUAUUUUUCUCAACAAGCUUGCCCUACUGUCAUUCCAACAUCCCUUCCACUUAUUCUUUUUGAGACAAAAACAUUGCAACUCAUAGUUGAAUCUUCUCUGUUCAAUAUGCUACCUCACUCCUCAGGUGUUAUAGCCAAAUGUAUAUUUUUUAUAUUUGCAUGGAUACAGAAUAUCAUUUCCCCUUUCUUGAGAAUAAUUCAUUUUUAUACUGAUCUUUUUUCCUCAACUGUAUCACCAACGCCAUAUCUUGUCCUUUUGCUCAAUCAUCAUUUGGACAAAAAUCCAAGAGGCGAUUUAUUCCAGUAUGUCCUUGAACCUUGGUGCAUUCUAAACAAUAGUCUUGUUUCAGGUUCCUGUAUUAUCUAAAAACUUCUUAAGUAAUAUGUGAAACCUAUAUUGUGAAAACAUUACUAGUUCAUUCAUCAUUAUUUCAAUGCAAUAUGUUUGCAAUCAAAUAAGGGAUAAGAAUGGAGUUGAAUUUUGAGCUCAAAGUAAAUAAAUCAUCAAAAAAACAAAAAUGGCCAUUAAUUUAGGAAUGUAUAUCUUGAAAAAGAAAAACUAAUUCAAAGAUAGCCAACUUAUUGGAAAUAAAAUGAAGACUAGGUACCCCUGAUAUCACAAACCGAGCUUCUCCGUACAAACUUCUUGAAGACCAAUUCAAACUUGGCAUGUGUUUAGAAGAUCAGAAGUACUCUGUCAAACCCAAAAUGCAACAUACCCCUUUCCUUGUUAAUUCAAGUAUAGCAAGAUCACUACCUUCCCACUUUGAAUCAAUCAUUUGAGCCGCCCUUUUUGGGUUUUCAACUCAAAUCCCCUUUGAUCUCAAGGCACCCUUUGCGGAUUUUCACCUUAGCCUCUCCUUUUCUCUUUUUUCUUUUUCUUUUUUCAUUUUUAAUGAGUCUCAAAGCACCCUUUGCGGGUUUUCACUUUGGCCCCUUUUUUUUAAGAAAAUCUCAAAGCACCAUUUGCGGGUUUUCACUUUUGCUUCUUCCCCUCAUUAAGUGUAAUACUUUUUGACUGAAUCUGAGUUUACUGGAUUAGACAAGUUUUUUCCAUCCAUUUCAGCUAGGAUUAAUGGUCCUCCGGAGAAAGAUUUCUUCACCACAUAAGGCCCCUCCCAAUUUGGCAUCCAUUUUCCUCCAAAAUCCUUUUGUAUAGGAAGAAUCUUUUUUCAGAACCAAAUCGCCUUCAUGAAAUUCUCUUGGGUGAACCUUUUUAUCAUAAGCUCCCAUCAUUCUUUUUUGAUACAUCUGACCGUGCUGGAUAGCCCUUAGCCUCUUUUCCUCAAUCAAAUUCAACUGAUCAUAUCGAGAUUGUAUCCAUCCUGCUUCAUCUAACUUUAAUUCUGAAAAAACUCAAAAAGAAGGUAUCUCCACCUCAAUGGGUAGAACUGCUUCCAUUCCAUAAACCAAUGAGAAAGGCGUUGGCCCAGUAGAAGUUCUGAUGGAUGUUCGAUAAGCAUAGAGGGCAAAUGGCAACUUCUUAUGCCAAUCUCUGUAAGUUUCAAUCAAUUUCCCCACAAUCUUCUUGAUAUUUUUAUUGGCUGCUUACACUGCCCAUUCAUCUUUGGGCGAUAUGGUGAUGAAUUAUGAUGUCUGAUCUUAAACUGGCUGCAGACCUCUGCUAUUGUGUCAUUGUUCAAAUUUAAUGCAUUAUCAGAUAUGAUCCUCUCAGGCAUUCUAUACCGACAUAUAAUUUCCCUCUUUAAAAAUCUGCUGACUGCCGAUUUAGUUACAUUGGCAUACAAGGCAGCUUCCACCCACUUGGUAAAAUAAGCAAUGACCACAAAGAUGAAACGAUGCCCAUUUGAAGCCUUUCGUGAAAUUGGCCCUAUGACAUCCAUGCCCCACAAAGAAAACGGCCAUAGGAAAGUCAUAACAUGCAAAGGCGAGAGAGGUAUGUGAGUCUUAUCACCAUAAAUUUGACAUUUGUAACAUUUCUUGGCAUAAUUGAUGUAGUCUCCGUUCAUAGUCGACCAAUAAUAUCCAAACCUCAUAAUUUGUCUGGCCAUUGUGAACCCAUUAGCGUGUGUUCCACAAGCGCCUUCGUGAACCUCUUCCAAGAUUUUCUUGGCCUCCACAGCAUCCACACAUCUCAAAAGUACUUGAUCCUUUCUUAUUUUGUACAAGAUCUCACCAUUUAAGACAUAAUCAUAAACUAGCCUUCUCAACGUCCUUUUGUCAUUUAAGACAUAAUCAUAGGCUAGCCUUCUCAACGUCCUUUUGUCAUUCUCUGUUGCUUGAUCUGGAUAUUCACGAUUUCUUACAUAUCGCAAUAUAUCCUGAUACCAAGGAUGAUCAUCUCUCUCCUCUUCCUCUAUAUUAUAACAAUAAGACGGGGCCUCACAAACACUCAUCUGAAUGGGUUUCACAUCUUCUUGUCUGCUCACUUUGAUCAUGAAAUCCAAAGUAGCCAAAGUAUCUACCAUUUGAUUUUCAUCACGCGGGAGAUAAUUGAAGGUAAUAUCAUCAAACUCUUCAACUAACCCCAACACCAGCCUCCUGUAAUUGAUUAAUUUGGAAUCUCUUGUCUCCUAUUCACCACAAAGUUGGUAAAUUACCAACACAGAAUCUCCAUAUACCUCCAAUAACUUGAUCUUUCGUUCUAUAGUUGUUUGAAGCCCCAUGAUACAUGUUUCAUACUUUUUCAUAUUAUUUGUGCAAUCAAAAUCCAAUUUACAUGUGAAUGGAAAAUGAUCUCCUCCUGGGGAUACCAAGACCGCUCUAAUUUCAUUACCCACAGCGUUUGAGGCUCCAUCAAAAUUCAAUUUCCAAUAGUGAUCUUUUGUAAUGCCCUCUUCAAUAGCUGCCACAUACACUAUCUCCUUAUUGGGGAAAUCAAAAUUCAAGAGCUCAUAAUCUUCUAAAGCUUGACUAGCCAGAAAAUCUGCUAUUGUGCUCCCUUUCACGGCUUUUUGACUUACGUAGAUUAUGUCAAAUUCAAAAAGCAAAAUUUGCCACCUAGCCAUCCUUCCAUUAAAGGCAUUUGACUCCAUCAUAUAAUUUAGAGGAUCCAACUUUGAGAUUAGCUAAGUUGUGUGGUGCAACAUGUAUUGCCUCAACCUUCGUGCUGUCCAAACCAAAGCGCAACACAAUUUUUCGAUUGGCGAAUAUCUCAAUUCACACUCAGUGAAUUUUUUACUGAGGUAAUAUAUCGACCUUUCCUUUCUUCCUGAUUCAUCAUGUUAACCAAGCACACAUCCCAUAGAAUUACCAAACACGGUCAAAUAAAAUAUCAACAACCUGUCUGAACUUGGGGGUGAUAAUACUGGAGGACUCAACAAAUAUUUUUUAACUUUAUCAAAAGCUCUCUAGCAUUCAUCAUCCCACUCUCCUAGGUUAUGCUUUUUAAGAAGACGAAAUAUGGGGUUGCAUUUCUCUGUUAAUUGAAAAAUAAACCGAGCAAUGUAAUUUAGUCUUCCCAGGAAACCUCGAACCUUUUUUUGGGUGCGCGGUGGAGACAACUCUUGUAUAGCCUGGACUUUGUUUGAAUCAAUCUCAAUUCCUUUCUCGCUGACUAUAAAGCCCAAUAGCUUUCUGGAUCUAGCCCCAAAGGUACACUUGGUUGGAUUAAGCUUCAGCUGAAAUUUUCUUAAUCUCAUAAACAACUUUCUCAACACUUGAAUGUAUUCCUUUUCCGUUCGAGAUUUGGCUAUCAUAUCAUCAACAUAAACCUCAAUUUCCUUGUGCAUCAUAUCAUGAAAUAAAGUCACCAUGGCCCUUUGAUAUGUCGCUCCAGCAUUCUUCAAUCCAAAUGGCAUCACCUUGUAACAAAACGUGCCCCACAAGGUUAUAAAGGUAGUCUUUCCCAUAUCAUUAGGAUGCAUCUUUAUUUGAUUAUACCCCGAGAAGGAAAACAACGAGUAACCAGCCGUAUUAUCUACUAGCGUAUCAAUAUGAGGCAAGAGGAACUUGUCCUUUGGGCUAGCCUUAUUUAGAUCUCUAUAAUCUACACACAUUCGCACCUUGCCAUCUUUCUUGGGAACAGGCACAACAUGGGCUACCCAUUCUGAGUACUUGAUCACCUAAAGGAAUCCCGCAUCAAAUUGCUUUUUGACUUCCUCCUUUAUCUUUAAGACAAUAUCUGGCAUGAUUCUUCGAAGUUUCUGCUGUACUGGCUUGCAAUCUUCUCUUAUGGGAAGGCGAUGUACUACAAUAUCAGUGCUUAAGCCAGGCAUAUCCUGGUAUGACCAUGCAAAAAUAUCUUUGAAUUCCUGAAGCAACCCAACAAGGUCUCGCCUUGUUUCCUCAAUUAUACAUGUUCCAAUUUUUACAACUUUCCCCUCUUCUAGAGUCACCGUGUCCACUGCUUCUUUAUGAGGUGAAAUUUGCUCUUCCUCUUGUUCUACCAUUCUUAACAAGUUCGGAGAUAAAUCACAGUCUCUAUCAUCUUCAAAGUCCUAAGAUCCCUCUAAACAAAUGUCUUGCUCAAAUAGUAAUUCUAAGUCAAUAACAGUGUCGCUCAUGACAUUGAUAUCUAGGGACCUAUUAUAGGUACAAAAAUAUACAAAGAAUGAAUGAAUUUGAUAAUUAUUGUUUUGUAUGAUAUAUUUAUGAAUGAAAUAAAAGAAUGAUUGAAGAAAGAAUCAAGAUAAUAACACAAUUGCUUGUGAAAAGAAUAAAAGAAUUUUUGCUUAAAAUGAUAGUAAAAAUGUACUUCAUUGAAAUAAUGAUGUUUGAACAUGAGCCUAUUUCACAAAGAAAUCUUUAUUGUCUCUAGGCUUAAAACAACAAAGUUUGUUUCGAACAUUACUCUGAGUAAGCUCUAAAAACUAUAGGAAGAUCUUCUGCAGUCCAAUUGCCUAGAAUACUCCCAGGCUCAUAUUCAAUUAUCUCUUCAGAAAUAGCAUUGAUGUACACAUUUCCCCAUGCUUCUUCCAUACUUUCUUUCUCUAUCAUCCCUCGCUCAAGAUAGAUGAUUCCUCCCGACACAAAAGACUUGAAGAUGUGAGGAAUUAUCAUGGGCUCCCACUUAAUUUCUCCACCACCCACUCGUGCUCUUCUUUUUUCUUGUCUUCUUUCCAGUUCCCUUUUCCUUUGUCUUGCAUCUAGCCUGAAUAUCAAACCAAAGCAAUCAUGCUUGUCUUUCAACAUGGGAACCACAAUUCUUCCCUAGAGAUAUCUCUCAAUUCCCUUUCCUAGUAAAGCUCCACGUCCUACUAUUAAUUGUAGACCCAUCAUCGUAGUUUUAGACAUUUUUGGCUCCAAAAUUCUACUUCCAUCAGUGACGAAUGUUGCAUUUACAAACUCCUUACAACUACUUACAGCUGUAAUAAUGUCCUCUUCAGCAUUUAUCGUCACCAACCGCUCCUCUGAUACUAGCUUUAACUUCUGAUGUAAUGACGAAGGCACUGCCCCUGUCGAAUGUAUCCAAGGUCUCCCCAACAAGCAGUUGUAAGAGGGAUUAAUAUCCAUUACUAAGAAAUCUAUCUCAUAUGUAGUUGGGCCAAUCAACAAAGGUAUUUCUAUUCUCCCCAUGACACUCCUCUCUGUGCCAUCAAAUGCUCGCACUAUGUUCUGACAUCCUUUCAUGUGUGAGCUAUCUACAAGUAACCUUUUUAGUGUGGACAAAGGAAAUACAUUCAGUGCUGAACCAUUAUCUACCACGACCCGCCCUGUUAACGUGUACCAUUUACAUCUGGUGGUUAUAUACAAAGCUUUAGUAGAUCCCAUUCCUCCUAGUGGUAUCUUAUCAUCAUUGAAGAAGAUGAAGUUAUCAGCACUUAUGUUAUUCACCAAUUGAUCCAACUUGUUAACGGGAAUAUCAUUGGUCACAUAUGUCUCAUUCAACACUUUCAUUAAUGUACUUCGGUGCACCUCUGAGCUUAGGAGCAAAGCCAAUAUGGAUAUGCGGGCUGGUUGUUUUUGCAACUGUUCCACCAUACUAUACUCGUUAUGUUUCAAAAAUUCCUUAGCUUCUUCCUCCUUUACUGGUUCAUUAACGGGCACCUUAGGUUCAACCGCUUUUCCCUUCUUUUGUUUGGCUAUCACAUCUCUUUCUUUUACAGGUUCUGUUUGGGCAUUUUUCAAAUCAUAUUGUCUUCCACUGCGCAUGUGAGAACCUAUAUUUUGAUCCUCCUUUAACGGGCUGACUGAACUUUUCUCGGGACUGUCACAUUACAAUCAUAAUUUCAAGGGACCUUUUUGCUAUCCUUGUAAUAGAAAACCACUGGCUUCUGAAUUAUGAUCUUCGGUGUCAUCUGAAUUCCUGCUUCAUUCUUAGGACGUGAAAUAAUGACCGCAGGACGAUUGACUUUUGAGACGUUCGUUGUGGAUUCCGACACACAUAUAUAACUUUAUUCCUUAACCUCUUCAUAAAAUUCUAUAUCCUUGUUAUCCAUCUGGCCCUGGAUAACAGCACUGAACUCUUCGCAUUCCUAAAUUUCGUGUCCCUCUUCAUGAUGGAACUCACAAUAAUUCUCUACCUCAUCAUCACUUCCUUCUGAAUUCGAAGUAACUAACCCCUUUCUUGUCAUCUCCUUUCAGACCCAUUUCAAAGGAGUUUUUACUUCUGAAACAUCCACCUUGGUUCUUUUUCCCAUACCUCCAUCUAUUGUAUUUACCCAGCUAUCAGUAUGAUUAGGUAGCGGAUUUUCUGUACUGGGCGCAUUAUCGAAUUUCACAAUGCCCAUCUGAAUAAAUCUCUCAACCAGCUUCUUAAAAGUAGUGCAAUUUUCUAUUGAAUGCCCUACGAUCCCUGCAUGAUAUUCACAUUGAGCAUUGGCAUCGUACCAUUUAGGGAAUAGAGGUUGUAAGGGCUUUAGAUAAAAAGGUGCCACCAGAUGUGCGUCAAACAAACUUUGAUAUAAUUCUUUAUAGGUCAUGGGAAUUGGAGUAAAUUGAAGUUUCUCAUUAUUUUGCUUUGUUCCAGAUUCCUACCUUGAUGAGCCUUGACCAGAAGUCAUCGUCUUUGGUUGACUUACAGUAACAGACUUUGAAUACCCCACGUUUACAUUGUUCACCUCAUUUUCCUUUUUUCGUGGCGUAGAUCUUUUAGCACUUUCUUUGCACCUAUCCUUCCAUUUCUUAUGGCAUUCUCAAUCAUUUCACCUGUCAUGACCACAUCCGCAAAGCUCCUCUGGCACUUCCUAACAUGUGAGUUAUAAACAGUACUUUUAAGGUGUUAAUAAAGAGCAUUAUAGUUUCCUUCUCCAAGAGCGGGGGCUGGACUUGAAUGGCCAUUUCUCUCCAUCUCUGUGCAUACUGCUUAAAACUUUCAUUUGGUUUCUUCUCCAUAAUGCAGAGUAAUCCUAUCAAGAGUUAUAUCUAUCACAUGACUGUACUGCUUCAUGAAUGUCUGUGCUAAAUCUCUCCAUGAACUAAUUCUGUUUCGACUCAACUUAUUGUACCAUUUAGCAGCUACCCCCACCAAACUGUCUUGGAAGCAAUGAAUCAAUAAUUGAUCAUUAUUAACAUACCCAGUCAUUCUUCUGCAAAACAUAGUAAUAUGAGCUUCUAGACAACUCGUUCCAUUGUACUUUUCAAAUUUUGGCAUCUUGAACUUAUAUGACAGUACUAAAUCUAGGACCAAGCUCAGAUCCUUUGCAUCAAUUUUAGGAUGUCUAUCCACGCCUUCCAUUGCCCUGACCUUUUCCUCUAGCCAUUUACAACGUUCUUCUAGCUGUUUCUGUGAUUCUGUCCUUGUCCUUUCCUCUUUUGCAACUUCAUCCAAAUCAGGCACCAUUAGAUUAUUCAAAUUAUUACCAGGAUUAAAACCUGAGCUAGCUUCAAAAUUCAUUGGUACUGAAACUCCAGCCUGAAACUGCUGAGGCCUAAUCGUAACAGAUGGUUUCGGCAAAUUAAUCUCAGGUUAUGUCUACACAUGUGUAGAAGUGAAGCCAAGAGGAUACUGAGGGUCUUCAUUAUUUUCCCCAACAUUAUCCAUAGAACUUUUUCCCUUAUCCACUCUUCCCAUCAGCAAUUGGGACAACUGACUCAUCAUCUCUCUUUGGGACUCCAUCAUUUGUUCCUUCAUCUCGUGCUGAACCUUAGCUAGUUGUUCUUGCAUUUGUGACUGCAUUUGUUCUUACAUAUCCUUUUGCAUUUGCUCUAAAUUUUCUAGUCUUUUGUCCAUUGACUUAGUCUUUUUCCUUGUACCGUAGAGAUGCGUAUUUGGUUUUCAGAUUACUGAAAUAAUUUUUAAUUAAUUAGAAUCUUUUUAUAGCCUUUAAUGCAUAUGAUAUAAUGUAAUGUAAAUGCAUGAAUGCAAAGGAGGCAUCAAUUCUAAUUCAAUUCCCUUUAGAAAACUUUACUAGAAAAUAAAAUUCUUUACAUAAAACUGAGUUACAAAUAAGACUUCGCCCUAACACUCAGAGCCUUAAUUUUCCUAAGCAAUGAAGUUAGUUCUUGUCCCCUAUCUGACUCCAACUCGUACUUCACACUUAAUACGUCCAUUUGUACCGCCAAAGACUGCAACUAAUCAGCUACUUCUCGAAUUUUUGUUACAGCAUCUCCCAUGAUGUAAUCCCUGCUCCUAACUUGGUCUUGAGAGUGAUGAAGCUGACCUUUCCAUUGCUCCUCAUUCGUCUCCAAGAACUCGAUCCUCAUUUCACAACUUUGCAACGCCAUUUCUAAUUCUUCUAUUUUCCUUUUCAUCUCUUCGAUCUUGCUUAAGCUUGCUCUCAACUCCAUCACAAAAUUACGGUUCCGGUAUAAAUAUAGAGAUCUCUCAAGUUCCACUACUCUGGCUCUUAAUUCGUCUUUUUCAUUCUUACUCUCUGACAGAUUUUUCUCCAAGGCUUCAUUCCAAGCUUGAGCCUCCUGGAACCUCUUUUCCCAUUGAUCAGCCUUAAUUCUUUCUUCUCGAAAUUCUUAGCGCCAUUGUUCCGAAGUUUUUCCUAAUCCAGCAGUCCUCAUUGAUUGGUGUAGCUUCUUAUAAUCUACUUUUAAGCCUUCCAAAUCCUCUUUAACUUCAUUCUUCCUUUUUCGUAACUUUUCCGCCUCUGAAUUUUGAACCUCCACAUCCAAUCUUAGGUGCAUCUUUUCUUCCUCUAACUGCACAAUCUUUUUCUUAAGCUUAGAACUCUUCUUCUCAAAGUCUUACUUUAUAAUUUCCAACCCUGAUGGGGUAACUUGUAAUUGUUCUUCCACUGGUCGGGUGUCUUUUAAGCUUAGUCUAGGAAUAUUAUCAUUAACUCUUUUCCUAAACCAUCCAUGAUAUUCAAGUGUUGUCAUAGAACCAACAGUCAACCUCUUCAUCCAACAAGUUCGCCUCCUGGCAUCAAAUAUUUCCCGAACCUUCUUCUUAUAAUGGUCACCCUUAUAUGAGAAUUCACACUGAGCAAGCCCGUAAGUCGUAGGUAUGAACUGCCUCGAUUUAUACCGCCUUAAUGCAAGCAAGGGAGUAUAUCCAGUAACUCCCCAAAUUCCUGACAAUGGCACCCAAUCAAAGUUCCCACAUCGAUCUCAUUAGGAACCAUCCAAAAAGUUCUCCACUCUAUAUCCUCUUCAUUGAGAUUUUGAAUAAUCUCCAUCCAUUUCUCCUCUGAAAUAUCGUCUCUCAUUUGCAUUGGUAUCGCCUCUUUUAAUGGAGAAUAACUUUCAGAGAAGACCCGAUAAGAUACCUUGUUCACUUUUCAAAAAUGCCCAUGGAACCACACUAUCAACAACUGUGCACAUCUAAUAAAUUGACCCUCACCUGUCCUCUGACACAUGCUCAAGGAUCUAAACGUCUCGGCUAAUAUUGCAGGUAUAGGUGUGAUUCCUUUCUCAAGACGACCGAACAGGUAAGGGACUGCCUCAUCCACAUGCCUUAAAGCCUUAGGAAAAAUCACCAAUCCAUAGAUGCUUAAGGCAAAGAUAUCGACCCUCUUCCUUUCAUCUGAAUUUGUCAAAACCAAAUCUCUAAAAUUCUCCCAAGGAAUACAUUUACUAUCCCCCUUUUUUUGAAUUCAAGCAGUGACCCAAGGCUUGCUCAUCCCCGAAAUAUGCAUCAAUUUCUUCACAAAAGUUUGACCAUUAAAAACCUUAGCAUAAGCUUUUUUGACGUGAACUUUUGGACUCCUUAACAGGGUAGUAUAUUCCUCAAAGGUAGGCGCCAAAUCCACUUCCCCAAAAGUGAAACAAUUAUAAGCAGAAUUCCAAAAUUGAGCCAUACCUCGAAAUAGAUACUUGUCCACCUUAACAUCGAGCAAGUACAAUAUAUCACCAUAACUCUGGUAGAAUAGCUGUUUGGUUCCCUCAACCCAACGAGCCCAUAUAUCUUUCAACUCUUGCAACUCAUUCUGUGUUACAUUGACGCGAGUGAAUUUCUGCAACUCUGAUGUAUAUCCUUGUGCCAGGCUAUCCCCUUUCUCCGACUGUAACUUCUCUGACCAUGCGCGGACGGCCGCAUUAUCCUCAACUUUAUUAAGAAAUUCAUUCUCCAUGUUAAACUUUCUAACUUAGUAAUCGAAUACGAAUCAACACCUCCUUUAGUAUGCAGUGUCAUGCAAAACAUAAUCAAAACAAAACACAAGUUAGUAUCAAAUAUAAGUGAUAAAAUACAAGCACAACAAAGAUAAUCAUAACACACAUAUGGGAAAAUACUAAGGCUUGACGCGGCUCUACCUAAGGAUAGCUCUUAAGGUUCACUAUAUGUAGCUCGGUUCUAGAGAAAUGGUACCCUAACCAGCAGAUUCCUCAAUUCUCACCCAUUAUAGGUUCAUAUGAAUCGAGUUCGGUUCAGGGGAAUACAUUUCCCUAUGACCAUGCGGAGAUGACAAUCUCACGAAUUCAUAGGUACGGAUGUAUCCCAGAAGCAUUCUACUAACCCAUGCGGAGGUGCAAACCUCACGAAAGCAUAGUUUCUUACUCCCACUUAACAGGUAUAACCACAGUGGUCAUGCAAUGCAAUCAGUACUAUUCUAUGAGACCACAACAAUUAUACAAACAAAUGCAAUCAAAAGAAUCAUAAUUUCCAAAACCAAUUUUCAAAAAGACAAAAGGACAGCAAAUAAUCAAUUUUAUGGCCUGACUCUCUUGUUCAAUCCCCAGCGGAGUCGCCAAGCUGUCAAAACCAUUUUUUUAUUCAAAAAAAAUGGGAAUCGACUUUUUAAAACCAAAUGUGGAGUUGCCACCAAUCUUUUUGUUUAGGUGUGAUUGGAUCACCUAGUAAAAACAUUUUAUUUCAUUUAAAUCAAUUUUGGUCCACGUAAAUUUAAAAAAUGGGUUCGGGAGCCGGUUACGUAUGAGGAAGGGUUUGCACCCUCACUACGCCCAAAAACUGGUACUAGAUUGAUUAAUUGUUGUCUUUAUGUCUAGGUUUUUUUCAAAAAUUUAAAACAUGGUUCCUUUUAAAACAUUUGAGUGGUUUAAACUGGUCGUCAAAACCUUCUCGUUUCAAAGGUAUAAAGCAUCACAUCCAGCACAAUAGAACAUGAUCCUUUAUACCUUUAAGAACACAAUCGAGUUUUGACUUCCAAAAGCUCUUAAAUCAAAAGUUACAAAAGGUGUCCAAAUAUUUUGUCCAACGAAAAAUCGAAACCCAGCACAGUAGGGCAUGAUUUCUCGAAUUUCAAAAUACUGAACAUUGCCUUAUUUUAGGAUUUUUUUAAAAUGUUUUGUAAACUCAGAACAUAUUAGUUUUAUUUAAAAUUCAAUGGAAUGGUUGAUUUUAAAUAUUUGGGAAUUAUAAAGCAACAUUUUGUAAACCAAAAGAAAAAUAAUUAGCAUGGUAUAAUGUACAUGCAUAACAUACAAUAAUUGGUGAACGAAGAUAACAUAACCUUACUUAACCGAAUAAAUCAAAUAACUGAAUAUAGCUAUUCUAAUCAAAAUGAGACCAUCCUUCUUAGCAUGUAUGGGGAACAAUUGAGAUAACAAUAAAAAUGAAAGAAAUAGUACAACAACGAUGUCUAGUCUAAUAUAAUACAACCAAUGCAAAAUAUACAUAACAAAAUGAAAUAAAAAAUAAAAAAAAUGUGGUAUAAGGCAAAUUUUAAAUAAUGAUGAACAUAUAAUAUAUGAAUUGAUGUGAUGAAUUUGAAACUAUUUGUAAAAACAAACUAGAGAUAUAUCCAUGUUUAUUAAAAUAUGUAUUAUAAAAUGAAUAUUUUCAAAUCAAAUAAUAUACAAAGUGUUAAAGAAUAUUGGUUUAAAAUAGAUAAUUUGCAUACAAUAAAGGAGAAUUUAAAUUGUGUAUAAAAUAUGAAAAGAUAGUAAAAAUAUAUAAUGAAAUAUAAUCUUAGGAAAUAAACUAUACACAUAAUAGAUUUACACAUCAUAUAUAAUAUACAUACAUUUAAGAAUAAUUAUUUGUAAAAAUAGCAUGAAAUUAAUAAUGCAUAUAAAAUUAAGUUAGUCUAUAAAUUAUAUACGUACCAUUAUACAUAAUAACAUUUAAAUGAAAUACUAUAUAAAUUAUUGGAAUAAUAUAAUAUAAAGAAGCAUUCCAAAGUAAUAAUUUUUAUAAAUACAAAAAUGAAGUUCCUAAGAUAGUUUCAUAUAUACAUAAAAAAAUUAAGUGAAUCAUAAAGCAAGGAAUAUUUUAAAUAGAAAAUUUUAUUAAAAUAAUAUAUGUAUCAAUAUAUAAAAAAAUAUUUAAACAAAACGCUAUAAUAAAGUGUUAGAAUAAUUUAAUGUAAAAAGAAUUUUAAAACGAUAAUUUUAAAACAAAUUAAGGUUAUUAAGAUAGCUCAACACAUACAUAAGAAUAUUGUGAACUUCAAAAUAAUAGGUAUUAUAAAUUGAAAACUCAAUGAGAAUAAUGUACGUAUAAAUGUGUAUAAAAUAUUUAAAGAAAUAUUAUGCAAAAUGUAAAAAUAAUAAGAUAAAAGAAUCCUCAAAAUAAUUGUACAAAUGAAAACAAACAAAAUCAUUAAAAUGGAUUAACACAUAUAAAAAUAUUAAACGCAUUUUAAAUCAGCAAAUUAUAGAAAUGAAAGACCAAAUUAAAAUUGAACCCAAAAUAAAAGAGAUAAUUUACAAAUAAAAUAAUCGUAAAUAGGAUCAAUAAGUAAUCCGCACAAAUGUAUGAGGACUAGAAUUGGCAAUAUCCCCGAGACCAAAACGUUGCGCUGUACCGCGGACUAAAAUGAAAAUACGCACAAAUUAAAUAGCCAAAUUUAAAAAACAAAGUAAAACAAAUAAGACACAAUUGAAUGCUUGCACGAAGGGAAGGAUCUAUCACGCAAAUAUCCCCUCUCCGCAGAAUCACGCGGAUCCCAGGGGCAAAGAAACGGAUCGGGUCGGGUCAUUGAGUUCCAAACAAUGUCGUUUUUAAACCAUUGGAAUUGGUUUAUACGGCGUCGUUUUUGCUUCCUUAUAAAGGCCAAACAAUGUCUUUAUUCAACCAAACUAACACCAUAACCCUAGCCUCCCCAUUUUAAUCCUUUCAGCCGAAACCUAACAUUCCUCUAAAAGCCGAUCUGCCACCAUGAACGGCGACCAGCCCGUCCAAGCCUCAAAGUUAUUUUCAGCCUUAAGACCCCUUCUAUACUUCGAUUUCGACGAAGAAUAAGAAGUUUCAUGGUGUACUUUCAAGGUUAAGUCUUAUUUCCUUCUUCCUUUUGGUUUUUUAAAUGCUAAACGAAUGACCAACAAAGAAAUAAUCGGCAGAAAAGAAACUUGAGUAAAGAAUCACCUUUAAGGAUUUUAAUAACUUUCUUUGUAUUCUAUGUGCCUGCGUAUGCGUAAGUCCUUUACAAAAAUGAAAUCGACUCUUUUUAUAGCCGAAUAUAGGUAAAAAUAAUAAAAAGAAAAUUUUGAUUUUCCUUGCUAUUUUCUGUUUUAUUUGUUGUGGCUGCUGUUAUUUGCUUCUCUCGCAGGUUCCAUUGUACGGGGAGUGCGUACGGAGUAGAAGGCUGUUGACGCGACAAGGCCG